UCGCCAGAUAUUGUAAUCCAGAGGGUUAGCUGACAUUGAAUUUCCGAAACGACACAUAACCCGAAAGGAUCCUUAAAAAUCAUACCAACUGAUUCCCUCUAGAUCAUAAUGCCAAAGGAAGGCACAGAACAACAUGGUCAUUGGGGCUUUUCAUGGACAGGUAAAACAGGUUCACAGGUGUGCCAGACUAACAAGAACACAACACACGUCAAUAAUGCAUAGAUAUAGCACAAGUUCAGCACACGGUCUGUUAUGUCAGUUACAGGAACUCUUA